UGAGGGCUUCCUUCAAAAACCUUGGCCUGCGAUGGCCUGGAUUGCAGGAGUCCUAUGAUGUUGGCUAGUCGGUGUAAUUGUCGGGCUUUUCCCUUAAUCCAUUUAUGCCUGAGGUUGCAAUUUUUUGAAUUUUUGCAAUUAGACCUUGGCGAUGACCUUGAGCAGUAGGAUAUAAAUAACUCCCUUGUGUUUAGCAUUCCAGUAAUGGAACACUAGCCAUAAUAAACCGUUCCAAAAAUGCGUUCUAAUGGCUCUCAAGCAAGGUCCACUUGCAGUGAAAUAAACCAGAGGUUUGAAUCAUGGCUUGAUACGAAAUUAUUGGAAAGAAUAUGGCGAUGACAUCCACAAUGCCGUUCCUUAUUUCCUUAAUUUAGCAAGUGAUUUCCAAGCUGGUGUAUGGAGAUAAGUAGUAAUAUACAAAAAUGCUAACAUGGGCUAGUGAACCUCUUUCAUUAUUUGAAAAAGCAGAAUAGAAACUGAGCAGUUACCAACAAGAAGCCUCUGUCAGAUAAACUAAAUUUUUUCUGCUCUGGCAUAGAAUUAUAUCAGCUCAAUUGAAUGUGAAACGAUAAUGACAAUAUUAAUAAUUAAUGCUUAUAAUAACUAAUGACAAAGAUGAUGCUGAGUCAUUUAAUAUUUGCAGUGUUGCCAUGAGUCAGGAU
rnacentral:lncRNA from 1 species